AAACCGAAGGUCGUAAGUUCGAUCCUUACCGUCCGUGCAUUGAUUAUUCAAUCAUAAUAUGGACAUGAAAAAA
rnacentral:tRNA from 1 species